AUUGAACGCUGGCGGCAGGCUUAACACAUGCAAGUCGAGCGGUAACAGAGAGAAGCUUGCUUCUCUGCUGACGAGCGGCGGACGGGUGAGUAAUGCCUAGGAAUCUGCCUAGUAGUGGGGGAUAACUUGCCGAAAGGUAAGCUAAUACCGCAUACGUCCUACGGGAGAAAGGAGGGGACCUUCGGGCCUUUCGCUAUUAGAUGAGCCUAGGUCGGAUUAGUUAGUUGGGGAGGUAAUGGCUCACCAAGACCGCGAUCCGUAACUGGGCUGAGAGGAUGAUCCGUCACGCUGGAACUGAGACACGGUCCAGACUCCUACGGGAGGCAGCAGUGGGGAAUAUUGGACAAUGGGGGGAACCCUGAUUCAGCCAUGCCGCGUGUGUGAAGAAGGUCUUAGGAUUGUAAAGCACUUUAAGUUGGGAGGAAGAGCAGUUAACUAAUAUUUGACUGUUUUGACGUUACCGACAGAAUAAGCACCGGCUAACUUCGUGCCAGCAGCCGCAGUAA
rnacentral:rRNA from 1 species